AGUAGUUAUGCCUACUCCUAAAGAAAAUUUGAGUAUUAGGGCCAUAAAUAAAGUGUUAAUACAAAAUGAUAUGAUAUUGUCACGAUUCCCCCUUGAAGCAGUGUGCUUUAAGCGCAAAUGCGCGAGCACCUGCUUUUCCGCUGUCGACCGUAGUGACAUUGGGACACGUGUGUUUUGUUUAUGUUUGUCAUGUCUCCUCCCUGUUCCGUCAUUGGCUGGGAAGUCACGUGUGUCCGGAUUACCCUCAGCUGUUAGCAGUUGCGAGGGUAAUCAUGUCCGCAUAUAUACCGCGCGCUUCCCAGCACACAACGCGGAAGAUUAAGUAAUAUGAAGUGGUGGUUGCAGUGAUUCAGUCAAUUGACAAGGAUGUGAAAUAUACACUGUGCCAAAAAGAGCUCAAAAGCCUGAAACCACACAACUGGUUAAUGGGAGAGACUAUUGAAUGCUACUUCCAAGCACUGUUGAAUUCGAAAGGUUAUGGAAGAAAUUGUUUUUAUUCAACUACUCUGCCAGUGUUGUUGUAUUUGGGGAGAGGUCUGCAUUGUCAAAUCACAGUUUCCAAAAGGUGAGACUUUAUAAUUGUUAUUCAAUGAAAAAGAAAAGGUCAGAAGGACAAGUGCAAUUGUGUUACAUAUUAACUCAUUUGCAGGCCAACUUUCAAGACU
ensembl:lncRNA